rnacentral:rRNA from 1 species
GAUGAACGCUGGCGGCGUGCCUAAUACAUGCAAGUCGAACGAACAGACGAUGAGCUUGCUCCUCUGACGUUAGCGGCUGACGGGUGAGUAACACGUGGAUCACCUACUUCUAUUACGGGGAUAACAUCGGGAAACCGGAGCUAAUACCAGAUCACAUGUUGAACCGCAUGGUGCAACAGAGAAUGACGGUCUUGCCGUCUCUUAUAGAUGGUUCCGCGUCGCAUUAGCUAGUUGGUAAGGUAACGGCUUACCAAGGCAACGAUGCGUAGCCGACCUGAGAGGGUGAUCGGCCACACUGGAACUGAGACACGGUCCAGACUCCUACGGGAGGCAGCAGUAGGGAAUAUUGGACAAUGGGCGAAAGCCUGACCGAGCAACACCGCGUGAGUGAAGAAGGUCUUCGGGUCGUAAAGCCCUGUUGUUGGGAAAGAACAGCUGCAGGAUAAAACACGGAUGUUCUGACGGUACCUAAAGAAUAAGCACCGGCUAACUUCGUG